rnacentral:rRNA from 1 species
CGCAUCUGUGCAUGCAGCAUAUCAAUAAGCGGAGGAAAAGAAACUAACAAGGAUUCCCUUAGUAACGGCGAGUGAAGCGGGAAGAGCUCAAAUUUGAAAUCUUAAAGGUUUUACCUUGACGAAUUGUAGUUUAAAGAAGUGUUUUCUGCUGAAGUUUUGGUAAAAGUUCUUUGGAAUAGGACAUCAUAGAGGGUGAGAAUCCCGUAUUUGACCAUUUACUUUCAGCUUUGUGAUACACUUUCAAAGAGUCGGAUUGUUUGGGAAUGCAGUCCAAAAUGGGUGGUAAAUUUCAUCUAAAGCUAAAUAUUGGCGAGAGACCGAUAGCGAACAAGUACCGUGAGGGAAAGAUGAAAAGAACUUUGAAAAGAGAGUUAAACAGUACGUGAAAUUGUCAAAAGGGAAGCGUUUGACACCAGUGUUGUUUUUCUGAAAAUCAAUUAAAGAACUGUUUAUGCUAAGCUGUUUAGACUUUAUCAGCUAUCUGUUUAGUUUUGAGCUUUUCUUUAAUGCACUUUUCAGUUAACAAGUCAACAUCAAUUUCUUUUGCUGUAAAAAAGCUUGAGGAAGGUGGCUUGAGAUUCGUCUUAAGUGUUUAUAGCCUCUUGCCUAUGCAGUCGGAGAGAUUGAGGUCUGCAGCGUAGAUCCUUCGGGGCUAAAUGCAUUUGUGCUAAGUUAUAGCAUUUUAUAGACAACUUGUUGACUAUGAUUUGUCUUGUAGCUUACUCGCUUAUGUUAUUUUACCUACGCUUAGGAUGUUGAUAGUCACAGCGUGUAC